AUCAGCAAGAAGAGAUGAGAGAGAAAGACACACACAGAGAUUCAAUAUGGUUUGAACUGUAACAUUCAGCUCAAUCAGUUGUACUGAAAAACUGGGACGAAGAGAGGGGGUAGUGGGAGGGCGAGGGACAGGGAGAGGGAGAGAGCCCAUGAGAAAUGAGAUCUGGGUAGUUUGCAUAACAUUGUGACACCAACCAACUCUCCUAGAUAACACCAGUAGUCUAUUGUCAACAUUAGACAUGAGAUGUGGGAAGUUUACAUAACAUCGUGAAAUCGAUCAACAUGUUAGAUAAUAUCAGUAUUCGAUUGGAC
rnacentral:lncRNA from 1 species